UACGUAGGUGGCGAGCGUUGUCCGGAUUUACUGGGCGUAAAGAGCGCGCAGGCGGUCGUACAAGUCGCGUGUGAAAGCCCCCCGGCUCAACUGGGGAGGGUCACGCGAUACUGUUCGACUCGAAGGCAGGAGAGGGAAGUGGAAUUCCCGGUGUAGUGGUGAAAUGCGUAGAUAUCGGGAGGAACACCAGUGGCGAAGGCGACUUCCUGGCCUGUUCUUGACGCUGAGGCGCGAAAGCGUGGGGAGCAAACAGG
rnacentral:rRNA from 1 species